GGUUUAAAAGGGUCGGGAAUUCGUUUCACUCUCAUAGUUGGAAUAUUAGCAGUUAGGUACAUUUUCCUGCCUCUUCUGGGCAUUAUCACAGUAAAAAGUGCAGUGCGUUUUGGUCUGGUGCAUUCAGAUCCCUUAUAUCAAUUUAUUCUUCUGCUGCAAUUUGCCGUCCCACCAGCAAUGAAUAUAGGCACAAUGACUCAGUUGUUUGGAACUGGACAAAGUGAAUGUUCUGUUAUAAUGUUGUGGGCAUAUGCUUUGGCUUCGGUUUCACUAACAUUAUGGUCAACCAUUUUCUUGUGGAUGGUAUCAUGAGUAGUGAGAGCAUCUGCAAAUUGGGUAAUCACCCAAAUUCGAAUUUCACCUUCCCACUCUCUGUAACCAAGAAAAGGAGAAAAAUCCUGAAUGCUGAGUACCUGAAUAUGUUGAGAAAAUUAUUAUUCAAAUUGUUUGGAUUAUGGUUUGUAGUAAAUGUAAAACAAAUCUUUUUCAACACAAAAAUAGUGAAUAUUCAAAAUCUAGCUCAAGGAUCAUUUGGCUCCACUCAAU
rnacentral:misc_RNA from 1 species